CAGACACUUGAGUAUUCAGCACAAAAGUGAGAUAAGCCUCAUAUCCUUUUUUUCAAAUAUCUCUCUGAAUUCAUAGAAGAUAUCACUACAGGUGAGUUAUCUGAUUCUUCUGGUUCAACCCGAAGAACAUUCCUGCUUUCACACUUCAACUCAAAAACUUUUCGUCCACAAUCCAUUACAACACCAUGAGAAGCCAACCAAUCCAUCCCAAGGAUUACAUCAAAUUCAUUAAACGA
rnacentral:lncRNA from 1 species